rnacentral:misc_RNA from 1 species
GAAUGCUUGUUUUCUAAUCCUUAUCACCUGCUUAAAACCCUUUGCCUGUCCAUUUCCUUCUAGGAAAAUUCUAUUUCCAAAGACCAAAAAAAAAAAAAAAACACUACGGUGCAAAGAACGAAUAUUCAUGGAAGAGAUUAUGCCCCCCUAUUCUCCAUCUUCACUUCUGUCAUUUUGUCAAGAAUCCUCGCCCUCUCUCCAACAACGCCUCCAUGUCAUCCUUCAAAGCUGCCCUGGAUGGUGGAUCUACGCCAUCUUC